rnacentral:rRNA from 1 species
AAAAAGGGCAUGGCUUACGGGCCCGAUUAUGGCCGAGCUGUGAGUCGUCGGCGGUCGCUUGCGACACGUGCUGUGCCAGCAGUUCGGUCCUGGUCGAGCUCCCAUAGUGCCUGUUCUCGGUGUAAGAGCUGGUCAUCUCUCCGACCCGUCUUGAAACACGGACCAAGGAGUUUAUCGUGUGCGCGAGUCAUUGGGCGUUGAAAACCCAAAGGCGCAAUGAAAGUGAAGUGCCACGCAAGUGGCUGAUGUGCGAUGUUGUGUUCCACGGAACACAACCGCAGCAUGGCCCCAUCCUGGCUGCUUGCAGCGGGGUGGAGGAAGAGCGUGCGCGAUGAGACCCGAAAGAUGGUGAACUAUUCCUGAGCAGGAUGAAGCCAGAGGAAACUCUGGUGGAAGUCCGAAGCGAUUCUGACGUGCAAAUCGAUCGUCUGACUUGGGUAUAGG